rnacentral:tRNA from 1 species
GUCACGAUAGCUCAAGUAGUAGAGUUGCGGCGUAUAAAGCCGAAAGUCGUGGGUUCGAAUCCCGCUCGUGACA